AGAGUUUGAUCCUGGCUCAGAUUGAACGCUGGCGGCAUGCUUUACACAUGCAAGUCGAACGCGGGUGAGGGGCAACUCUCACCUGAGUGGCGAACGGGUGAGUAAUACAUCGGAACGUGUCCCGUAGUGGGGGAUAACCCGGCGAAAGCCGGACUAAUACCGCAUAUGCUCUACGGAGGAAAGUGGGGGACCCGCAAGGGCCUCAUGCUAUGGGAGCGGCCGAUGUCCGAUUAGCUUGUUGGCGGGGUAAAGGCCCACCAAGGCGACGAUCGGUAGCUGGUCUGAGAGGAUGAUCAGCCACACUGGGACUGAGACACGGCCCAGACUCCUACGGGAGGCAGCAGUGGGGAAUUUUGGACAAUGGGGGCAACCCUGAUCCAGCCAUGCCGCGUGAGUGAAGAAGGCCUUCGGGUUGUAAAGCUCUUUUGGCCGGAAAGAAAAGGCUACGGAUAACACCCGUGGCUCUUGACGGUACCGGCAGAAUAAGCACCGGCUAACUACGUGCCAGCAGCCGCGGUAAUACGUAGGGUGCGAGCGUUAAUCGGAAUUACUGGGCGUAAAGCGUGCGUAGGUGGUUCUUUGUGU
rnacentral:rRNA from 1 species